rnacentral:rRNA from 1 species
GACGAACGCUGGCGGCGUGCUUAACACAUGCAAGUCGAACGGAAAGGCCCUGCUUUUGUGGGGUGCUCGAGUGGCGAACGGGUGAGUAACACGUGAGUAACCUGCCCUUGACUUUGGGAUAACUUCAGGAAACUGGGGCUAAUACCGGAUAGGAGCUCCUGCUGCAUGGUGGGGGUUGGAAAGUUUCGGCUGUUGGGGAUGGACUCGCGGCUUAUCAGCUUGUUGGUGGGGUAGUGGCUUACCAAGGCUUUGACGGGUAGCCGGCCUGAGAGGGUGACCGGCCACCUUGGGACUGAGAUACGGCCCAGACUCCUACGGGCGGCAGCAGUGGGGAAUAUUGCACAAUGGGCGGAAGCCUGAUGCAGAAACGCCGCGUGCGGGAUGACGGCCUUCGGGUUGUAAACCGAUUUCGCCUGUGACGAAGAGUGAGUGACGGUAAUGGGUAAAGAAGCACCGGCUAACUACGUG